AUGGUCCCUGGGUCAGGAAUGUCAGCAUUAUGGUAGAUGUUUUUAGAAAUGCAAAUUUUUGGCUCAUCUCAAACCUACUGAGUUAGAACCUGGGUGUAGAGCUCAGAAAUCUGCGCUUUAAGAAGCUGCCAGGUGAAGGGCCAGGGAUUUAGCUCAGUGGUUUCGCCACCUGCUGCUCAAGCGCAAGGACCCGAGUUUGAUCCCCAGUACCAAAAAAAAAAAAAAAGAAAAAGAAAAAAAAAAAGAAGCUGCCAGGUGACUGAUUUCUGCUGAAUCCUGAGGAUCAUUGUAACAAACCAAGGCUAUCUAGGCAGAAGCAUUUUUUAGGCUUUAUGAGAAGGCAAGGAGGCAAUAACUUCAAAUCUCAUGGUGGAUACAGAUUUUUGCUGCAAGGAAAUAACUGCUUACUAUGAAUGAAAUACUGCUUCAAGACUGAUGCUGAGACCCUGGGGCAAUAAGGACUCUGGAGACGUCUUUGAGGAAACUCCUGAAGCUCGAGUUUUAUUACCUUAAAAAAUAGACUGACACUUAGCCCUGAGCUAUUACCCUGCAGCUGCUCCUUUAGCUAUUUUGCAAUAAUAGCACCUUCACAUCUCAAGCCAUGAGCUGGAAGCUCUCAUCCAUGUUGCUUACAAGCAUUUCUCACUGGAAGAUAAACAUAACCUUGGGCCUUGCCUCAAAAGGAGUAUAUCAUGGAAUGAAAAAGAGAUAAUAUCCCCAAAUAUUGUGGCUACUGAAGGAUAGUUUUAAGGGUGGAAAUCAGAAUCACUGUGAAAUUUCUAAGUGCGCAUCUUCAAAGUUUCCUAGUAAACUUUUCUAAAGUUCAAUGACUAUUUUAGCAAAUCUUUCCUUACCAUUCUUUUGAAUACAACGUAUAUUCAUAAGGUUGAUAUACAG